rnacentral:tRNA from 1 species
ACCUGGCUGGUUCACUUGGUAGAGCAUGGGACUCUUUAUCUGGGGGUCAUGAGUUCAAAUCCCAUGUUGGGUG